UACGGGGGUGGCGAGCGUUACUCGGAUUUAUUGGGUGUAAAGGGCAGGUAGGUGUUCUGUUAAGUUAGAAGUGAAAUCCUAAGGCUUAACCUUAGAACUGCUUCUAAUACUGGCAGAAUUGAGGCUGGAAGAGGAAAGCGGAAUUCCCGGUGUAAGGGUGAAAUCUGUAGAUAUCGGGAGGAACACCAGUGGCGAAAGCGGCUUUCUGGUCUAGCUCUGACGCUGAACUGCGAAAGCUAGGGGAG
rnacentral:rRNA from 1 species